GAUGAACGCUGGCGGCGUGCUUAACACAUGCAAGUCGAACGGUGAAGCCAAGCCUGCUUGGUGGAUCAGUGGCGAACGGGUGAGUAACACGUGAGCAACCUGCCCUGGACUCUGGGAUAAGCGCUGGAAACGGCGUCUAAUACUGGAUAUGAGCCUCUUCCGCAUGGUGGGGGUUGGAAAGAUUUUUUGGUCUGGGAUGGGCUCGCGGCCUAUCAGCUUGGUGGUGAGGUAAUGGCUCGCCAAGGCGUCGACGGGUAGCCGGCCUGAGAGGGUGACCGGCCACACUGGGACUGAGACACGGCCCAGACUCCUACGGGAGGCAGCAGUGGGGAAUAUUGCACAAUGGGCGAAAGCCUGAUGCAGCAACGCCGCGUGAGGGAUGACGGCCUUCGGGUUGUAAACCUCUUUUAGCAGGGAAGAAGCGAAAGUGACGGUACCUGCAGAAAAAGCGCCGGCUAACUACGUGCCAGCAGCCGCCGUAACAC
rnacentral:rRNA from 1 species